ensembl:lncRNA
CAAUUUCUGAAGACAUUUAGCAGAUGUUUGUUCACUUGCAUGGGUACAGGUCAGCUGGCUUCAGAGAGGAUCUAUUGCACAGAGGACACUGUUGCUCCAGAAACGCCUCUCGGCCUCGACGCGAUCAACAGGUGCAGCAAGUCCCAGAUGCUUAAGACGGCACAACCGCUACCAAUUCCCCGGGCCUUGAUGUGAACUCCGGUCCUGCUUCCAGGACGGAAUCAUUUUCUGUCAGGCAAACAUGGUGCGAAAAAAUAUUAAAAGUUUAAGUGGAGUCUCAUGUGGUACGUUUCGAUUUUCUAUAAAGCGAUGAAAGCAGCAUUAGCAAUUAGCAACACCAGAGUGAAUAUCUCCUUUUUUUUUUUAUAGAAAGUCUGCCAACACAUCAUUAUCAAUUUACCAAUCUCUGCACUUUUAUUCUGAGGCAAAAUAUAAUCUUUAAAAGCUUCUAAUCAAUUCAUCUCCGUCAAUAACUUUAUCGUGGGAUAUUCUUGAAGUGGCGUGAAGCAAUCCGGUUUAUUCUCUCGUGUUGCAACAUGCAUGAAGGUAGAGGGGAAAAGUUGAUGCAGGUGAAACUCAAAGUGCAACGAGUGCAAAGUAUUUUUGUACUUAAAUUAGUCCGGAUGCCAUUUGGGUUUUACAGUUUCUAACACGACAGAGGGCUUUUUAUUAUGUUUCAACAUAUAGAUGGUCCGCAUAUGAGGUUUCUGUCUUUAAAUUCCGUCAAUUUUACAUAGAACGGACCGGAUAAGAAAAGAGACCUGAUUUAGCUCCAUCAUUACUUAAUGUGAUAUAAAGGAAGCCGUAUGCAUCAACCUCGCAUCACUCAACGGGGCCAAAAUGCAACACUGUCGACUUUGAUAAGCAGGGAGUCAAAGUUCCUCAGACUGCAGAGGGUGACAUUUGUUCAGGCAAGAAUGAGUACAAAUCAAGGCACAGGUGUCGAGCCGCAGCACGGCGAGAGAGGAGGGGAAAGAACCCCCCCCCCCUCCCCCACCCGAUAAACAAAGAUCUACUUUCAAACUAAAUCAAGCAGAAGGAAUGUCCUGAGUGUGUAAAGAGAUGGACGGGAGCCCAUGCAAUAUUUAAGCGCCAUGUCUGGCAACGGCAUCCAUGACACUCCUCUCCGUGGCCCCCGCCCUCCCGGCUUCCCGGCCAUCGGCUCUUCCCUCAAGGUGACACUUCAAAGCGGGCACGCAGACAUGGCAUGCCUGGCUGUCGGCAUGGAGCCAGCCCCCCUUUCCUCCACCCUCCUCCCCUCCCUCCCUCUCUCCCGCCCGCCCGCCCGCCACCCAUUCUACCCAGUCAUCCCCCACUCCACCCCGCCACCACCUCAAAGACACGGCUCCUACCCCUGCUGGGCCAGGUCAGCGCCAAGAUCCACACCGCUUGCUGUCUCGGGAGCCGCUGUCAAAAAAACUCUUCCCCACAAGCUUAAUUAAUAACGGGCCAUUCCUAAUGCAAACCCUCUGAAUCUGCAGCCCGUUCCCCUCCCAUCCUAUUGGUGAGUUCUGAGGCCGCGACAGAAAGCAGACAAGGAGAGGAGGGCUGGUUGGGGAAGCAUCCAAAUCAUUUGAAUUUCGAUGGUUGAGAUUCACAUGCAUUAUUCCCCGCCCUUUAUAACCUAUUUUCUGUGUUGUACGGUGUGCCUGCCUGUCUGUCUGGGGGCUUUUUCUCUUUUCUAAAGAUGUCUCUCUUCUGCAGAUGAUUGGAGACACUCGAAUGAAAGAAUAUUGUGUUUCUGUCUUUGGCCUGUCUGACAGGGAGAAUUUUACAGAGCACUCCGUGAUCGAUAUUUGCCGAUCCGUCUGCCCGUAUCAACCUCAAAUAAAAGCAGAGAGCAGGAGACAAGGCAGCACAAGCAGGUCGUCGGGAGGUCUGCUGCACCACCCUCCCCCGUUUGAAGUCUGCGAAAGCACUCAUCAGUGUGUAGAACCGGCCUCGACUUGGCACGCCGGGUCACCGCCGCCUCACCCUGAGCAGCGCACGGUUGAUUGUCUCGCUGUCGGGGCGUGCAGGGUUGUUGUUUUCAGAGGUG